GACGAAAGUCUGACGGAGCAACGCCGCGUGAGUGAAGAAGGUUUUCGGAUCGUAAAGCUCUGUCUUCAGGGACGAAUGUGCUUAAUGUGAAUAAUGUUAAGUAAUGACGGUACCUGAGGAGGAAGCCACGGCUAACUACGUGCCAGCAGCCGCGGUAAUACGUAGGUGGCAAGCGUUGUCCGGAAUUAUUGGGCGUAAAGCGCGCGCAGGCGGGAAUGUAAGUCUGUCUUAAAAGUUCGGGGCUCAACCCCGUGAUGGGAUGGAAACUACAUUUCUUGAGUGCAGGAGAGGAAAGUGGAAUUCCUAGUGUAGCGGUGAAAUGCGUAGAUAUUAGGAGGAACACCAGUGGCGAAGGCGACUUUCUGGACUGUGUCUGACGCUGAGGCGCGAAAGCCAGGGGAGUGAACGGGAUUAGAUACCCCGGUAAUCCUGGCCGUAAACGAUGGGUACUAGGUGUAGGAGGUAUCGACCCCUUCUGUGCCGGAGUUAACGCAAUAAGUACCCCGCCUGGGGAGUAC
rnacentral:rRNA from 1 species